UACGGAGGGGGUUAGCGUUGUUCGGAAUUACUGGGCGUAAAGCGCGCGUAGGCGGGUUGUUAAGUUAGAGGUGAAAUCCCGGGGCUCAACCCCGGAACUGCCUUUAAUACUGGCAACCUAGAGUUCGAGAGAGGUGAGUGGAAGUUCCGAAGUGUAGAGGUGUAAAUUCGUAGAUAUUCGGAGGAACACC
rnacentral:rRNA from 1 species